UACGUAGGGUGCGAGCGUUAAUCGGAAUUACUGGGCGUAAAGCGUGCGCAGGCGGUUUUGUAAGCCAGAUGUGAAAUCCCCGGGCUUAACCUGGGAAUGGCAUUUGGGACUGCAAGGCUGGAGUGUGGCAGAGGAGACUGGAAUUCCCGGUGUAGCAGUGAAAUGCGUAGAUAUCGGGAGGAAUACCGAUGGCGAAGGCAGGUCUCUGGGCUGACACUGACGCUCAUGCACGAAAGCGUGGGGAGCAAACAGG
rnacentral:rRNA from 2 species